rnacentral:rRNA from 1 species
GUUUUGGGAUGACGAGCGGCGGACGGGUGAAUAGUGCCUGAAAUUUGCCCAUUUGUGGGGGAUAACAGUUGGAAACGACUGCUAAUACCGUAUACGCCCUACGGGGGAAAGCAGGGGACCUUCGGGCCUUGCGCUGAUGGAUAACCCCAGUGGAUUACUAUAGUGAGGUAAAGGCUCACCUACGCACAUCCCUGCUGGUCUGAAGAUGAUCCCCCCGACUGAACCCCCCUACUCCUACGGUGGUUGUGGGAUAUGCAAAGGGGAACCCUGAUAACCAUGCCCUGUGUGAAGAAGCCUUC